rnacentral:rRNA from 1 species
AGCGAACGCUGGCGGCAGGCCUAACACAUGCAAGUCGAGCGCCCAGCAAUGGGAGCGGCAGACGGGUGAGUAACGCGUGGGGAUCUGCCCAAUGGUACGGAAUAACCCAGGGAAACUUGGACUAAUACCGUAUGUGCCCUUCGGGGGAAAGAUUUAUCGCCAUUGGAUGAACCCGCGUCGGAUUAGCUAGUUGGUGAGGUAAAGGCUCACCAAGGCGACGAUCCGUAGCUGGUCUGAGAGGAUGAUCAGCCACACUGGGACUGAGACACGGCCCAGACUCCUACGGGAGGCAGCAGUGGGGAAUAUUGGACAAUGGGCGCAAGCCUGAUCCAGCCAUGCCGCGUGUGUGAUGAAGGCCUUAGGGUUGUAAAGCUCUUUCGCAGGUGAAGAUAAUGACGGUAACCUGAGAAGAAGCCCCGGCUAACUUCGUGCCAGCUGCCGCCGUAAUAC